rnacentral:rRNA from 1 species
GCUAAUACCGUAUAACAAUCGAAACCGCAUGGUUUUGAUUUGAAAGGCGCUUUCGGGUGUCGCUGAUGGAUGGACCCGCGGUGCAUUAGCUAGUUGGUGAGGUAACGGCUCACCAAGGCCACGAUGCAUAGCCGACCUGAGAGGGUGAUCGGCCACAUUGGGACUGAGACACGGCCCAAACUCCUACGGGAGGCAGCAGUAGGGAAUCUUCGGCAAUGGACGAAAGUCUGACCGAGCAACGCCGCGUGAGUGAAGAAGGUUUUCGGAUCGUAAAACUCUGUUGUUAGAGAAGAACAAGGAUGAGAGUAACUGUUCAUCCCUUGACGGUAUCUAACCAGAAAGCCACGGCUAACUACGUGCCAGCAGCCGCGGUAAUACGUAGGUGGCAAGCGUUGUCCGGAUUUAUUGGGCGUAAAGCGAGCGCAGGCGGUUUCUUAAGUCUGAUGUGAAAGCCCCCGGCUCAACCGGGGAGGGUCAUUGGAAACUGGGAGACUUGAGUGCAGAAGAGGAGAGUGGAAUUCCAUGUGUAGCGGUGAAAUGCGUAGAUAUAUGGAGGAACACCAGUGGCGAAGGCGGCUCUCUGGUCUGUAACUGACGCUGAGGCUCGAAAGCGUGGGGAGCAAACAGGAUUAGAU